ensembl:lncRNA
UGUCAUGGUCCGCGGCCCGGCGUCCGGGGUGCUGCUGGGAUGUCCACGCCCACGAGCGUGGCUGCUAACCCCACACCUGCAUCCCAUCCCAGGCGAUCACCAGGUGGACUAUUUAAUCCUGCCCUACCUGCUGCUCCACGCCAGUCCGUAGUCGCCUCUCAGCGAUCAUAACUCGGCGUGUUUUUUUUCGAGCCACCUGCCUGUCCACCUGUGCGCCUGAGAUUUGGUUCACAUUCAGCUUCGCCGUCUCGACCCCUUUUGGAGCUCCACCCCCCUCUGAUUCACUCGGCCCGGCUAUCACCCCUCUCACAGCCCCGCUCUCGGCGUUCCCUGUGCGGUCCCUCGGUUUCGUCUGGUU